AUUGAACGCUGGCGGCAUGCCUUACACAUGCAAGUCGAACGGUAACAGGUCUUCGGAUGCUGACGAGUGGCGAACGGGUGAGUAAUACAUCGGAACGUGCCUAGUAGUGGGGGAUAACUACUCGAAAGAGUGGCUAAUACCGCAUGAGAUCUACGGAUGAAAGCAGGGGAUCGCAAGACCUUGUGCUACUAGAGCGGCCGAUGGCAGAUUAGGUAGUUGGUGGGAUAAAAGCUUACCAAGCCGACGAUCUGUAGCUGGUCUGAGAGGACGAUCAGCCACACUGGGACUGAGACACGGCCCAGACUCCUACGGGAGGCAGCAGUGGGGAAUUUUGGACAAUGGGCGCAAGCCUGAUCCAGCAAUGCCGCGUGCAGGAUGAAGGCCUUCGGGUUGUAAACUGCUUUUGUACGGAACGAAAAGCCCUGGGUUAAUACCCUGGGGUCAUGACGGUACCGUAAGGGUAAGCACCGGCUAACUACGUGCCAGCCGCCGCGGUAAGAC
rnacentral:rRNA from 1 species